rnacentral:rRNA from 1 species
UGCUAGUUGCACGAGCUUACACUCGUGGCGAAAAGCUCAGUAACACGUGGUCAAACUACCCUACAGAGAACGAUAACCUCGGGAAACUGAGGCUAAUAGUUCAUACGGGAGUCAUGCUUGAAUGCCGACUCCCCGAAACGCUCCGGCGCUGUAGGAUGUGACUGCGGCCGAUUAGGUAGACGGUGGGGUAACGGCCCACCGUGCCGAUAAUCGGUACGGGUUGUGAGAGCAAGAACCCGGAGACGGAAUCUGAGACAAGAUUCCGGGCCCUACGGGGCGCAGCAGGCGCGAAACCUUUACACUGCACGCAAGUGCGAUAAGGGGACCCCAAGUGCGAGGGCAUAUAGUCCUCGCUUUUCUCGACUGUAAGGCGGUCGAGGAAUAAGAGCUGGGCAAGACCGGUGCCAGCCGCCGCGGUAAUACCGGCAGCUCAAGUGAUGACCGAUAUUAUUGGGCCUAAAGCGUCCGUAGCCGGCCAUGAAGGUUCAUCGGGAAAUCCGCCAGCUCAACUGGCGGGCGUCCGGUGAAAACCACAUGGCUUGGGACCGGAAGGCUCGAGGGGUACGUCCGGGGUAGGAGUGAAAUCCCGUAAUCCUGGACGGACCACCGAUGGCGAAAGCACCUCGAGAAGACGGAUCCGACGGUGAGGGACGAAAGCUAGGGUCUCGAACCGGAUUAGAUACCCGGGUAGUCCUAGCUGUAAACGAUGCUCGCUAGGUGUGGCACAGGCUACGAGCCUGUGCUGUGCCGUAGGGAAGCCGUGAAGCGAGCCGCCUGGGAAGUACGUCCGCAAGGAUGAAACUUAAAGGAAUUGGCGGGGGAGCACUACAACCGGAGGAGCCUGCG